rnacentral:lncRNA from 1 species
CCUGAUGCAGAACAGACUGGAGGAGAGAACAGGUGCAAGAUACACCCACUAAUGUCUCAGGGGUCUGGCUCGGUUACUGCUUCCAUGGUUACGGGCUCAGCUAACAAGGAAGGUACACUGGUAUUAGCAAUUCCAUAAACAGCCAAUGGAAGAAAAAAAAUCCAUACAUUUGUUCCAAGCAUGAGAGGGGGGAAAAGAGAGAUUAUUGAUGAUGAAAAAGACCAGCCUUUUAUCAAAAGGAUGUAUUUAACCAUAAGGCUAAUAGAAAGUGCCAGUAGACUCAGAAACAUUUUGGUGAGGGAAAAUGAUGGCUUUACCCAGAAAGUGCUAUCAAUGAGAUUGACAGAGAACAACUCACUAAAUAUUGAAGUAAUGAAAAAAAAUCAAGAAUGCUCUGUAUAGGGCUGCUGCAGAUGACAGGAAGCUUAUGCUGCCUAGUGCAGAUGGCUGCGUCCCUUGCUGAGGUCUUGAUUUUGUUUGCAUUUAAGAAAUGACAGAAACAGAGAAAGCAUUGUAAGAGUGGAUACUGUAAAGAACAUUGUGAAUAGUUUCAUUCAGUUUAAGAAGCCUAUUGUUGUAUCAGCCAAUAGCCCAGCCAUUUGACUAGAUGCAUCCAUACUUCCUCUUUGUGAUUUGGUUUAGGCUAACAAAAAGGCUUGGUUUUAAACUGCUUCUAUGACCUUUGGACAGAGUCCAGGUUGCUGUUUUACCAUUAAAUUUCCCAAGAUGAUGGGUGAAGCAUAGGCCAAUGUAAUGUUGAUUGGUGGGAGAAAGCUGAAAGCAUGGGAGGCAUGUGCCAGAGACCUGGUCUCUCAGGUGUCUUGGACUGCAACUUUUCCCCCAAGUGGUUAUGACUCAAAUUAAGGACUUUGCCUCAUAUAAUUCAGUUGUGCUAGAGAAAAGUAAUGCCCUUAUUUACUGUAAAGUUAAAGAUGAAGUUAAAACAGGUCAAUGAGAGAGUGUGGUGUGCCGAAAAAAAUCUGAAUCUCAGCACAAGGAAUAGAAUCUGUGUUG